AAAUGUCAGGCCAACUACUUUGCUCCAUGUCUAUUUAGGGUUAUUUUAAUAAUUUUUCAAAUACCUUUUAUUUUAUGCAAUUUUAUUUUAUGCACCGAUACUUUUUUCCGUC